GGACUACAGGGGUAUCUAAUCCUGUUUGCUCCCCACGCUUUCGAGCCUCAGCGUCAGAAAUGUUCCAGAGCGCCGCCUUCGCCACCGGCCUUCCUCCCGAUCUCUACGCAUUUCACCGCUACACCGGGAAUUCCGCGCUCCUCUCCCAUCCUCUAGCCAAGCAGUCCCCUCUGCACUUUCCGGGUUAGGCCCGGAGAUUUCACGGAGGGCUUACCCAACCGCCUACGCUCCCUGUACGCCCAGUGAAUCCGAACAACGCUUGCCACCUUCGUAUUACCGCGGCUGCUGGCAC
rnacentral:rRNA from 1 species